CCAACCAUUGAACCAACUGUGCAUCACUCCACACCACAGGCUCCAAAUCAGCAUAUUGAUCCUUCUUUGAUCCUCUUGGCUUGAAUGACCGGAGACCUCAACUUGUCUCAGAAAACAUGCCUACUCUUAAAAGGAAAGUGAAAGAACAUGAUAGAAAAAACAAGGAAAUAGGCAGAAAAUGUUUUAAAAUCAAUCAAAUGUUUUCAGGAAAAAAGAAGAAAAUAAAUGCAGCAGAGUUAGAUCCUGUACCCAGCACCUCUGAUCCUGUACCCAGCACCUCUGAUCCUGUACCCACAGAUAAUCAAUGCACUUCCCAAGAUAAUUCACUGGCCACAGUUAACACAAAUUGCAGCAAUGUAGAUGACUCGGUAUCGACGUCAUGUAA